GCAUCCUGGCCCCUCUCUCCUGAUUGCACCGCCCACUCUCCCUCCCAUCUCCUCUCCUCAGCUUUAUGCGGACUGCAGCGAUGCAUUGUGGGAAACUCCCAAGGUGGUUUUUUUUUUUUUGCCUCUUCCGUCCUCCCUCCCUCCUCUCUGCAGAACAUCCAGCUUCCAAGGUGUGACUUGUGCGAACAACAGUCUGGGGAGAGAAGGCUGUGACCAGAGGUGCAGGGCCCAUCCAGUUCCUCCAGUGUCCCGGGUAAAUAAACGGAGAUCCCAGAGAGUGAAGCCUUCAAGGUGAGAUGGUUCCGUGUCAUGUCCUGGUGAAAUAUUGGCAGAGUGAGAAGGUUGCUGGGACGACGGCUACCAGGGGAUCCAUUUGAGGUCGAUCCAUCAGCCUGCCUACACCAGGUGAAAGCAACGUGGGUACAUAUAGCUGGUAGUAAUAUCCUGAGAGCCGGCCCUGUGAAGGUCAGGUCACCCCCCACCCCCCGACUGCACUCAUAGGGAUGGAAUCUAAAGGAAGCACCCGAAGCGGAAGCAAACCUGAUGCCAAGGCCGCCAGCUCAGGAAAGCCAGAGAAGCCCAACUCUGGGCCUGCUAUGAACGCAGACAAGAAGGAAACCCCCUCCAAAGAGCAGCCCGCCCCUGUGGCCACAACGAAGAAGGCAGCCAGCGAGGCAGCUGCACUGAAUAACCACAGCAAUCUGAAACCCAGCCCUGCGGCCCCGGAGGUGCAGGAGGCCACCGGCCAGUCCCCUGACUCUGAGCACAAGGGAAACGGCGCAGAGGAAUCCUCAGGCAGUGUCUUCGACAACGUGAAGCCACUGGCCAUUGUUGGAGGUGUGGUGGUGGCUGCCAUUGCUAUAAUUCUGGGAGUGGCAUUCCUAGCCCGGAAAAAAUGAAGACCGAGAAAGGGUUGGGGGAGAGAAAUAUAAUCAACUGUACAGUUCCUUUUGAAACACAUGCAUGCAGUAAAUUCUAUACAUAUCUAUACAUAUAUAGAGAGAGCGCUAGAUAGGGUAACUACAGCACCAACAACUACUCCAAAAGUCUUGUUCCAAAGGAGCUGUGCCAGUUUGACCAGUAUGGGUACUCCGUGCACUCAAUAUGCGCUUUCAUGUAAUAUAACUUGGCUUGUACAACCAUGUAUAGAUUACAGCUUCUCCUGAUCAGUGUAAAUGCCAGUGUCCCCUCCCCCACGCUCCCCUCCCCACUUUCCCAUAGUCCCAGCAUUUCCAAGCAGAGGUGUUCUACAUCCCAUCCUGAGACCCUGCUCUAUUUAUUUUGAUUUUUUUAAAUUGGGUUGUGGUAGAGAAGAGGAAAGGGAGAAAAGGAACAGUACUAAGACCCAGUUCAUCAAUUAUUGUGGUUUAUUAUUAAUAUCAUACCCCAGCUUGUGCUGGGCGCUUUGCAGACAUGUAAGAUGGCAGCUCCGAGCUUCUGGCCUAAUAUGUACAUUAUGUUCCUAAUGCUUAUCACCCAACCUUUAAAAGCAAACAGACAAGACAGGAGUAACCCAUAGCCGGAGGUGAGCUGACUGUGUGAUAUAGAAGAGUGUGGAUCAUAUGGCAUUCUGUCUGAGAUGCAAACCAGUAGCUACAGUGAAGCUCAAGGGGCAAAUAUGUCUCACUGAGCUCUACAGUGCAGUUUGCAGCCCAUGGAGACAACAUACAAGGCUUGGAGUCCCAUCCCAUCUUUAGUCAUGCAGAGGACAGUUUCAAUCUGCUCCACUUUAUGUAUAUUGGGGGCAGCCCCAGGCACCCAGCCAUUUGCCAAUGCAGAUAAGGCCAUUGGGACAGAGUUUGGGCAUUCCUGCCCUAGAGGGUGAGAGACUGUUUUGGACAUAAUACAGUAUUUGAUAAACUUAAACUGGCCUCAGCAGAGCACUUAGGGCUCAAUCCAAACUGCACUGAUGUCCGCUGGAGGUUUUCCAUUGACUUCAGUGGGCUUUGGCUCAGGCCCUUAAUCCUGGUGCUUUUCCAUAAAAGGUUGAUCUCUCCUUGCGUGCGGCAAAGGUAGAAGAAAAGGCAGGCAAGAACUGGGCUUUAAGGGCAAGUAGCACAUGGAGCACUAUGGGAAUGAUAUACAUGAUCCCCUUUAUGCUGGGAAAACCAUGUGCAAAAGUGAUAAAAACAGAUUGUGCUUGGAGAGAUCUUCUACCGCCUGAUUUGAGUCUACCAGGAAAAUGUGAAAUGCCCAUGUCUUGAAAGUGGAAACAAUUUCCCAAAGCUUGGAAAGAGCCUGGUUUCUUUGCUGGGGCGGAGGGGAAGGAGGUGAGAUCUAAAACCAGACCGUGGGUAGGAAGGGAGAAGUAAGGGAGGGGAUAGAUGGAGGCUCCAUUUACUACAUUCACUGAAGCCUUUCCCAUGACACUGAGAAGAUGGGACACCCAACUCUUCUGAGGAUGAGUGACCUUUCCAGACUCAGAACUUGCAUUACGACCCCUAUUUGCUGCUGCUGCUAUCGUAUGGAAAGGAUUCUUUAUCCAAUGUUUUGUUUUAAACAGAGCCAGAAUUGAAACAGAAUAACCCAGAGUCAUUGGAACUCAGCAGUAGUGCUUGCUAACUGGUGAGCGAUACACAGGAGUGUCACAGUUUUGCAGCGAUGAUUGGCAAAGAUACUUUUCAAAAGCCAGAGAAACCGGUCCAAAUUCAGAGGAAAUGUAGAAGCGGGGUGUAAGUUACAUGUCUGGAAGGGAGCCUGAGCACCUGGGCAUAUAAACCAGUAUAAGGGCUAGAUGAAGCAUCAAUUAUGCCAAGUCUCUUAGUUUCUUACACCAGAUAUCUUGCAUCUUCCACUGACACAUCUAGUAUUGGCCACUGUUGGUUGAUAGGAUACUGGACUGAAUGGACCACAUAUCUGAUCCAGUCUGGCAAUUCCUAGAUGUCUAACUCAGAGUCCUUUAAGAAUUUGUCCUACUGAGUGCAUGUGGCUCAACAGAAUAUUUGGGCACAGCUUAUUGACAAAUUCCCUUCUAUUCCUGCAGUUAGAUUUUUCACCAUCUUUUCUAUGAGGCUCUUAAAAUAUUCCCAGACGUAUGUGGCCUCUUUGGGUAUAAAAUUUUAUCUCCUGGUUUCCAAAUUAUUAUGUGCUUCCGAGUUUUAACCUGCAUAUGUUCUUUUCCAUUGCACAGACUGAUGCAAUCUGAUCAGGUUUGCCCCAUUGUUGAAACAAGUGCUAACAACCACCAUGCUUAAACUCGAUAGGUGCUAGCACUGUUUCACCUGUAUUGUGGACAGGAUUUAUAACUCCACCUUGUAAUACACUCCCUCCUGUACUGAGAAGGCUAUGGGAAAACCUUAGUAAGAAUAGGUUAGCUACAUCAUGGGGGAUUCCUUGUUAUUAUCUACCCAGAAGGCUGUUUGGCUGCUUGUUUCUUUAAUAACCUUUCCUUGUUGGGGAGCUAAUGUGUCCCCAUGAUGUUUUGCAGAUGAUGAAAUGUUAAUUUAUAAUUGUAAGCUGGGGUGAGGAUAGGGUGAAAAGAGGGAAGUGCAAAGUAUUGACCCCUGAGAUGGAGAAGAAAUCAUAACUGUCUAGCCUGUCUGCUGCCAAGGCAGGGUCAGUGACUCCUAGAACUUAUGAAGCAGAGAUUUGAUUUCUAGUUUCAAGUGUAAGUUACUUCAAGAGAUGCUUCUUAUUUGUUGCCCUCCCAUUUAGUUCUGGCAGAUGUGUUUUCCAGUGGAGAGUGUGAUAAAAAUCACAGAUCUAGCUCCUUUCUGUUCUGAACUAACCAGGGUAGACAGAAAUUCAAGGAGGAAAAGGAAACAUUGGAUGCUUCACAGGAGCCCUCCUCUCUUUCUCUUUUUAAAAGUAUUUUAACUUGAUUGCAUUCAUCUUUGGAAAACUGAGAAAAAAAGUUCUGAGCUGGGAGGGGCCUAACUGCAAAACUUUCAUCCAGAUCUGAACUGUUCCCCAAAGCAAUAGGAUACGUGAUUUGGAUGCAGGGCCAUCUCUAGUUCUAAGCCAAUAAUUUCCUCCUGAAAUAGGCCAGGGAGGUUAUUGAGACACGGGAGACGGUGACGGUGGGAGGACUAGAACUCGUCAUCUUGAAAAAUAACCUUGCCCUCAAUCGUAUUUAUGGCCGUGAAGAAAUAGGUUAAGUCUCUAGGGGAAUCAUUCACUUACUGUAAUUGCUCGGUACUGUGGUCCACUGUCAUGACUCAUUCUCCAGAACCCAGCUCAUUUGCUGGUCUGAAAACAUCCAUUUUUGUGUGGAUGUGUACAAACCCACUGCCUGCUUGAAGAAUAUUACAUGUAUAUAUUACAGUUUACUGCAGUCUUUGUAAAGCUACACAACCCAUAUUUUUUGUAAAGAAAAAUAUUGAGACCACCCUUUAUUUGUGCACCUGCAUUCACACAAAGUGUCCAUGUUUUCGUUUUUGUACCAUUUGCAUUCUGCCCAAAGCAACAUUUUUGGUCACGGUUUCUUACCACUAAGAGAAUGUCUGGCUAGGAAACUCCUGAAUGUAUAGCGUCCCCAUUGUGCUACAAGCUAAUAAUUACUGUCUCCCCACCUUCCCCAAAUAGUCACGUGGGCUACUUUGCUUUUAAAAAGGUACUUCCUCUUUUAAAGUGUUUUGGAAUGUGUCGUGUUUGUUGUAGUGGAACUAGUGCUGGUUUGAGUCUGGUAUAUCACAAGGAGGUGCCAUGCAAGCUUCCUAAACACACAGGGUUUCGGUGCCUUCAGUCCUGACUUGCAACUACCCCUUUGAGCAGAUGCUGUCUGUUAUACCUUUGUGCUGCACUGCAUGGUGGUUUCCUGUUGAGCACAGAAGGCCAGUGAGAACUAGACUGAGAAGAGCAAAUGAUCUCUCUGUUGGAACCUACGACAGAUUGAAACCCCAUUUGUCAUGAGGCAAAAGGCUAAUGAAUGAACUUGCUGUGCUAAAUAAAUAGUUGUCCUGUUUUGCGGCAGCACUGAGCACAUGCCUUUAUUUGCUUGAUGUUUUGUGUUGUGUUUGCUGUAAUAUGAGGUCCUCUUAGUGACGUCUCCUCAAUGAGAAUGAAUUAAAGCUUGAAACGGGUAAGAUUCCGGCUUGGGGGUUUGUAGGGAUCUAGAUUGCUAGUUUACUCUUAUUGAUGCUGUUUAUAAAUUAGAAAUUUGAUAGAUUAACUAUACAAACACUGCAGUAGAAAAUGCAGCUUAUCUUUAAAACAACAGAUUCAAUUACUACAUUUGUUCUAUUUUGAAGAAGCCACCCCUCUCGACCUAAUGCAAGUUACAUGUCUGGAAGGGGUUUCCCCUGUCCCUAGCUCUGUAAAGCUGACAUUGGCCACCUUUCCUCUGGUGCGGCCUGAUCCAAAGCCCACUGAAGUCAAUGGAAAGACUUCUUUUGACUCCAAUGGGCUUUGGAUCAGGCCCAGGCCUCUUAAAUAGUUCUGCUGUGGGAUAGAAUCACAUCGGAGCAUGAGGGAUGCUCCAACAGCGUUUUCAGCAUGGUGAGAAUGUGUUCUGCCAGGUGCUUUCUAUCUUAUGUAGGCCCUGAUUCACCAAAAGCACUUAAGCACAUACUUAAAUUUAAGUAGACCCGCUGCCCUUCAAUGUUACAUGCCUAAGUGCUCUGCUGAAUCAGGGCUUUGGGGGCUGAUCCAAAAAACAUGAAGGGGAGUCUUUCCACUAAUUUCAAGAGGCUGUGGAUUAGGCCGUUAGAGCUAUUUUCCCAUUUUCUCUUCUUUCUUUAUUUGUAUUGUGGUAGUGCCUGGCAUGGACCCUCUGUGCUGGGUUAAUUUCGCUCACAGGGAAUGGGGAAAACAACCAUUAGGUUUGAUCUUAAAGGGUUCCACGUGUGGAGCUCUCACAUACUUCAGGUUCUAUCCUUUGAUCUCAUGGACUGCCAGGGAAACCAUAAGCAGAGACUAUGAAGAGUGUCCUUCUCACACGGUGCAUCCAUACCUACUGCUCCAUUUACAUCUAAUGAAUUACUCCUAGCCCCAAAAUAUAAUGUAUUUUAAAACAAUUCUUAAAUAAUUUAAGGACUUAGAUCAUCAAGAAAUGACUUUUCUUGGCCCAUUGAUUUUAAAAACUCUUCCAACCCAAUCUUGAUUUUAGUUUAAUCCUUCACCAAAGUCCAUCUGUUGCACAUACUGCUUAUUACUUUUAACAGCAUGUCCAAUUGUAUUAAGGACAUUGAGUGCAGGCUGAUAAACGUUAGCUAUUAUGUUUAGUUUGUGGCAGAUGAUGAGGUGAUACCUAAAUUAGACUAUCAAAUGACAUAAAUUAUAUUUAAUGUUCCUCUCCUCAGGCAAGACUGUCAUAGCCUUGAUCACACUCAGUAGCACCUUAUUUCCCAUUGACUUCAGAGGGACUAAUCAUGUAAGGUACUAUGUAGCCUAAAGAUAUUGUAAUCUGGCCCAUAGACAGGAGACCCACUGAAGGCCACAUGUGUCAUUCAGUCCAAUGUCUUCACAGGACCACUCACUAUGUCAUUCCAUAAUGAUGGUGCUUUGACCAUGUGCCAUUGAGACGAUCAUUUCAUUGCACAAUUUUCUCAUGCAGUUAAAAACUUUUCCUCAUUAGCUGCAGGUUUUUGCCCUUUUUCCAGCCAUCAUUGGAGAAUAAAUUCUGCAUUUCCAUUAACUGUUAGGUAUUCAUAGGCUAUGACCAAGUUCCCUCCAUCACUCCAAAACUCAUUUCUAGUUUAUAUGGGCCAGAUCCUCAGCUGGAAUAAAUUGGCAUAUCCCCAUUGACUUGAAUGGUGUUACACUGAUUUACGUCAGCUGAGAAUCUGAUCCGGGACAUUUGUUUCCUUACACUUAAUGGCUUAUCCUCCAAUUUUGGAGUAAUACUUGCUUCCCUUCUUUGCAUUUUAUUUAGCAUUCCUAUAAUCUUCCCAAGCAAUUUUCCAAGUGUGCUCUCGCCAGGGCUAUGCGGAAACCAGAUUUAUGUGACUGUCACAAAUGCAGGAGUAGAUUUUUAACAGUCCAAAGAAUAGCAAAAGUUAUGCCAUUUAAUAUAUAGAUGGCAUACUCAGGGGCUAUAUGUCACAGGCAGGGAAGGAGGUGCACAAGCUUUUAAUCUGCUAUAGUUACCCAAGUCACAAGUAAAUAUUAUGGCCCAAGUCUGCAAGGUGACGAGUUUCCUCAAUUUCCAUUGAAGUCAAUGGAAGUUGGGGACAUUCAGCACCUCACAGUAUUAGAACCUUAAUUUGCUAGUCUCAUUCUAGUCCUCAUUAUUGCACAUCAGUGACUCACUACAUGAUUGGCACUCUGUUCAAGGGAGGCCCCCAACUGAAGCACUCAGGAAUGAUUGCAGGUCAGGGUUGAGAUGCACUGGCAAAGCUGUGUGAGGGAAGCUACCACAGCAUUUGCAUGCACUCUGCAUGGCUCAAGCCAGUGCUAUUUAUCCUUCAGUUAUCUGAGUGCAGAGAUGAAAGAAAUUAAAUAUAUUUCGUUGGACAAAAGACUUGAGGCCUGAUUUUGAACUAGGUCCAUGGCAUGGAUCAUAGUGGGCCUUGGAAGUCUGCUAACGUGCAUGGCACAUGCUGUAUUUCCCCCGCCACAAAAGAACAGGUUUGAAGUCGGUGCAUCAGCUGGGCACAGAAAAGUUUGCAAGCUUUGUUUCCAUGUUGGUGGGCUGUUCAGAUUGUGUUGUCCCAUGGGGCUAGGUUAGUGUGAAGAUGCACUCAUCACAUGGCAAGUUCACAUUGCCUUGAAACAGCAGCUUUCCCAAUCAGAUGAAUCUCAGAGCAGGCAAACACUAUGGAAGACCACAGGUUACUGGUCUUAGCUAUUCACAGAUGUGGCUCUACCUUCCACUGCUGCAUUGCCCCCAUCUUAAAAUCUCCAUUUUGUGCAAACGCUGUCAGUGACUCACCUGAUAUGUAGUGAUGUGACCAAGUUUACCGCGAGCAGUGGGAGCAGAAUCUGCUGUUCUACACUACUUUUCACUGAUAAAAUAGAACUGGUUAGGAUCUACCACAUAUUCACAUGCCAUGCCUGUUCCUACUUCCCCCACGUGGACUAGCUCCUACCCUGGAGUCUGCAAUCUUCCCUGCAUAGCCAUCUUCCCAUUCCACCCCACCUUGGUUUUCACAGUUGGAUCUGGCCCACUUAGGGAUCUGGGCCAGGAUCCCAAGAAUCAAAGUUUCUGCCUUGAUCUGCCCUUGCACGUUGAUGCUACGGUGCAACAAUGCCCAGCAGUGAGAGGGAAACUUUCUGCCUAUCUUCAUCAAGCCCUGCAGUAUGUGCCAGACUCUAACGCUGUAGCUUCAAACAGUCCAAAGUUUCUAGGGCAAAUCAACAAGAACAAGGACAGCAUAUUUCCCCACCUCCUUUCUUUUUU